GACGAACGCUGGCGGCGUGCUUAACACAUGCAAGUCGAACGGUGACGGAGAGCUUGCUCUCCUGAUCAGUGGCGAACGGGUGAGUAACACGUGGGCAACCAGCCCAGACUUCGGGAUAACGCUUCGAAAGAGGUGCUAAUACCGGAUGCGAGCUCCUUGGGCAUCCUUGGAGUUGGAAAGUUUUUUCGGUCUGGGGAUGGGCCCGCGGCCUAUCAGCUAGUUGGUGAGGUAACGGCUCACCAAGGCGACGACGGGUAGCCGGCCUGAGAGGGCGACCGGCCACACUGGGACUGAGACACGGCCCAGACUCCUACGGGAGGCAGCAGUGGGGAAUAUUGCGCAAUGGGCGAAAGCCUGACGCAGCAACGCCGCGUGAGGGAUGACGGCCUCGG
rnacentral:rRNA from 1 species